ACUCAAAGGAAUUGACGGGGGCCCGCACAAGCGGUGGAGCAUGUGGUUCAAUUCGACGCAACGCGAAGAACCUUACCUGGGCUCGAACGGCUGGAGACCAGCGGUGGAAACAUCGCCUUCCCGCAAGGGACUGCAGCCGAGGUGCUGCAUGGCUGUCGUCAGCUCGUGUCGUGAGAUGUUGGGUUAAGUCCCGCAACGAGCGCAACCCUUGUCCGUUGUUGCCAUACUUGCAAAAGUGGAACUCGACGGAGACCGCCAGCGACAAGCUGGAGGAAGGUGGGGAUGACGUCAAGUCAUCAUGGCCUUUAUGUCCAGGGCUACACACGUGCUACAAUGGGCGGUACAAUGGGUCGCGAAGCCGCGAGGUGAAGCCAAUCCCAAAAAGCCGUCCUCAGUUCGGAUUGCAGGCUGCAACUCGCCUGCAUGAAGCUGGAAUCGCUAGUAAUGGCGGAUCAGAACGCUGCCGUGAAUACGUUCCCGGGCCUUGUACACACCGCCCGU
rnacentral:rRNA from 1 species